rnacentral:misc_RNA from 1 species
AACCAUAGAAACCUGCGGAGUACCUGCGGAAGGAUCAUUACAGAGUUCGUGCCCUCGCGGGUAGAUCUCCCACCCUUGUGUAUUUUCUACAUCUUGUUGCUUUGGCAGGCCGUUGGUUCGCCAACCACCGGCUCGCGGGCUGGUGCGUGCCUGCCAGAGGACCUCUCAAACUCGGUUUGUUAGUGUCGUCUGAGUACCAUAACAAUCGUUAAAACUUUUAACAACGGAUCUCAGAUCGGA